GCAUUGGAUGGUUUCCUAUUUGUGGUGAAUCGAGACGGAAGCAUUGUAUUUGUAUCAGAAAAUGUCACACAAUACCUGCAAUAUAAGCAAGAGGACCUGGUUAACACAAGUGUUUACAAUAUCUUACAUGAAGAAGACAGAAAGGAUUUUCUUAAAAAUUUACCAAAAUCUACAGUUAAUGGAGUUUCCUGGACAAAUGAGACCCAAAGACAAAAAAGCCAUACAUUUAAUUGCCGUAUGUUGAUGAAGACACCACAUGAUAUUCUGGAAGACAUAAACGCCAGUCCUGAAAUGCGCCAGAGAUAUGAAACAAUGCAGUGCUUUGCCCUGUCUCAGCCACGAGCUAUGAUGGAGGAAGGGGAAGAUUUGCAAUCUUGUAUGAUCUGUGUGGCACGCCGCAUUACUACAGGAGAAAGAGCAUUUCCAUCAAACCCUGAGAGCUUUAUUACCAGACAUGAUCUUUCAGACGGAGUCUUGCUCUGUUGCCCAGGAUGGAGUGCAAUGGUGCGAUCUCGGCUCACUGCAACCUCCACUUCUUGGGUUCAAGUGAUUUUCCUGCCACAGCCUCCCAAACAGUUUGGACUACAGGCAGGUGCCACCAUGCCCAGCUAAUUUUUAUAUUUUUAGUAGAGACGGGGUUUCACCAUGUUGUCCAGGCUGGUCUUGAACUCUUGACCUCAAGUGAUGCGCCUGCCUCAGCCUCCCAAAGUGCUGGGAUUACAGUUGUGAGCCACUGUCCUUGGCCGGGAGUAAUUCUUGAUGUCAACCUGAGUUUCAGUCUUGGUGUGCCAUUUUUUAAUCAUAGAAAUAAAAAAUUAAAGACA
rnacentral:sRNA from 1 species